GGUAUGGGAUGAGCUUGCGUCCGAUUAGCUAGUUGGCGGGGCAACGGCCCACCAAGGCGACGAUCGGUAGCCGGCCUGAGAGGGUGAUCGGCCACAUUGGGACUGAGAUACGGCCCAGACUCCUACGGGAGGCAGCAGUAGGGAAUAUUGCACAAUGGGGGAAACCCUGAUGCAGCAACGCCACGUGUGGGAAGAAGCAUUUCGGUGUGUAAACCACUGUCAUGAGGGAAUAAGGCCCGCCUUCGGGCGGGAUUGAAUGUACCUUGAGAGGAAGCACCGGCAAACUUCGUGCCAGCAGCCGCGGUAAUACGAGGGGUGCAAGCGUUGUUCGGAAUUACUGGGCGUAAAGGGAGCGUAGGCGGAGAUUCAAGCGGAUUGUACAAUCCCGGGGCCCAACCCCGGCUCUGCAGUCCGAACUGGAUCUCUUGGAUAGUUCAGGGGCAGGC
rnacentral:rRNA from 1 species